AAGCGAGUAAAUGCGUACAUGAGAAAGGGGAGAAGGUACAUGUAAAGUACAAGGGAUGUGCGAAAAAUAAAUGGUCUCAUUGUAAGGUAGCCCAAGAGAAAGCCAUGUGUGUGCAAUUGUGUACUAAACUAGAAAGCAUGCAAAAUUAUCCUAUUUCUAACACUAGGGGUACAAUCGUCAUUUCACAAUUUAUGGAUUAAAUUUCUAUUUACGAAAUUCUAAUUAAAGAAAAUUAAAAUCUAAACUAGAUUUAAUAUUUCUAAUUCUAAAAAACUAAGAGAUUAUCUAAUCUACUCUAAAAAUUUAAUGAGCCUAAAUGUCUAAUUACUUAAUAUUUCUAGAAUUCUAGUCUAGUUUAACAUUUCUAAUUGGACUAUAAAAUUCUAAAAUAUUUAUUUCUAAUUUUCCAAAAUCCCUAAUUCUAAAUUGAAUUUCCAACUAUCAUAAUAUUCUAAAUCCUAAAUCUAUUCUAAUUUUCUCAAAAUUCUAAUCUAAGAUUGUUUAAUCAAAGUUUAAUAUUCCUAAAACUAUUUAAUUCUAAUGACUAAUGAACUCUAAAAUUCCAAACUAAACUAAUUAACCUAAAUUAACUCUAACAAAUACAAGUUAAUCCUAAUAUGUCCUAAUCAUUAACAGUAACAGUAACUAAACAAUUAACCUCCUAAUCACAUCUAAUUAUUUCUAAUAUUUUUAGUUUUCUAAAUCAUAAUCUAAUCUUGAUUAAUUCUAAUGACUAAUGAGACUCCAAGAAGAUUGGGCCUGGCUCUGGAAAGGAGGUGUAAGUCCACGUGCAAAGGGGUGGCAAGAAUAUUCCGUUUAGGCCUUAGGCACAAAACAAGUCCAUACCCGAUCCACCAGCUUAAGCAAAAAGAACAUCUCAUGCCAAAACGUGAGCUACAUCGACGGCAUCUACACAAACGGAAACCGGGAACGGCACGAUCCUCCUACCGUCAUCCUUUCGUACUUCACGACCUCCACGUUUGGAAACAACGAUUAAUGCCAUGGAUUCACAUUUAGCAGCCGACUUCAAAUCUAAAUCGUCUUCAGAUAUCGUAUUCGGAAUCAACAUUUUCGAUGACCUACCGGCGGACCGACGAAGGACGAUUGCGGCGAACUCCAGAUCUGAACUCGAGUUCAUCCCUCAGCCGUUAAUAUCACGAUAAAUCAAUCAAGAACAACAGACAUGAUAACUCGCAUGCGUGUGAAGCUAAGACAAAGGCGGAAAGGAGAUAACGCGUACUCACCCGAUCGGGACCAAGUUGUUUCCGAGGUAGAAGACGUAGUUUUCGUCGGAAUCCAGAAAUGGUGGCUAAAGGUCCGCGAUGGUGGAAGAAGAAUCGCGAGAGGUAGGGGAUGAUGACAAGAAAAGAGAUGGAUGAAGGUUGCUGAAGAUUGUUAAAGGAUUGAUGAAGGUUUGUUACGGUUCGAUAAAGGUUUUGGUUGAAGAAUUGAGAGUUGGUGAUGAGGUUGAAGGUUGGUGCGGUGAAGGUUUUGUGAAUGGAGGUUGAAGAAGAUUCGGUGAUGGAGGGUUGUUUUUUAAGGAAGAUUGAAGUGGAAUCGUGAUUGAUGCGUGAGUUCCCUUUAUAUAGAGCCCUGUUUUUGCAGAUUUCUUUGUUAGAGUUUGUUAGUUAGUUAUGAAUUUUCUGUUAUGGAUUGGUUAUUUUUCUGUGAAAUUAUGCAAGUAUGGAAUUGGCUUGCAUCGCUGGCUUGGCUUGUGCGUACUAGCUGCGUUUUGCUUGUUGUUGUACCGGCUUGGCUCGCGUGUGGCUUCUGUUGGAGUAUUGUGCAGCGUUUGGAAAUUGUGGCUUAUGGAAGUGGCUUUGCUCAUGCUUUUCGUUUGCUGCUUUGUGAAGCUUGGAGCAGCUUUUUGCUUGGUGAAGCUUGUGUUACGCUUGUUGUUUGGCUUUGAUUGUUGUGCUGCUGUAGCAGCUUCUUGGAAGCUUGAUGCUGCGUUUCAUUGUAGCAACUGUAUUAUUUCAUUUGCUUUUUUCUCCAUUGCAUUACUUAUUAUUAUUAUUAUUUAUUUUUAUGGACAAACUACAUGCAUAUGGUUUUGGAUCAUGUUAUGGAAUUAUUUGGAAAAUGGUUUAUUGGUUGUUAA